rnacentral:rRNA from 1 species
CACUAUCGUUAACUGAAUACAUAGGUUAACGAGGCGAACCGGGGGAACUGAAACAUCUAAGUACCCCGAGGAAAAGAAAUCAACCGAGAUUCCCCCAGUAGCGGCGAGCGAACGGGGAGCAGCCCAGAGUCUGAAUCAGCUUGUGUGUUAGUGGAACGGUCUGGAAAGUCCGACGGUACAGGGUGAUAGUCCCGUACACCAAAAUGCACAGGUUGUGAACUCGAAGAGUAGGGCGGGACACGUGGUAUCCUGUCUGAAUAUGGGGGGACCAUCCUCCAAGGCUAAAUACUCCUGACUGACCGAUAGUGAACCAGUACCGUGAGGGAAAGGCGAAAAGAACCCCGGCGAGGGGAGUGAAAAAGAACCUGAAACCGUGUACGUACAAGCAGUGGGAGCACCUUCGGGUGUGACUGCGUACCUUUUGUAUAAUGGGUCAGCGACUUAUAUUCUGUAGCAAGGUUAACCGUAUAGGGGAGCCGCAGGGAAACCGAGUCUUAACUGGGCGUUAAGUUGCAGGGUAUAGACCCGAAACCCGGUGAUCUAGCCAUGGGCAGGUUGAAGGUUGGGUAACACUAACUGGAGGACCGAACCGACUAAUGUUGAAAAAUUAGCGGAUGACUUGUGGCUGGGGGUGAAAGGCCAAUCAAACCGGGAGAUAGCUGGUUCUCCCCGAAAGCUAUUUAGGUAGCGCCUCGUGAACUCAUCUUCGGGGGUAGAGCACUGUUUCGGCUAGGGGGUCAUCCCGACUUACCAACCCGAUGCAAACUACGAAUACCGAAGAAUGUUAUCACGGGAGACACACGGCGGGUGCUAACGUCCGUCGUGAAGAGGGAAACAACCCAGACCGCCAGCUAAGGUCCCAAAGUCACAGUUAAGUGGGAAACGAUGUGGGAAGGCACAGACAGCCAGGAUGUUGGCUUAGAAGCAGCCAUCAUUUAAAGAAAGCGUAAUAGCUCACUGGUCGAGUCGGCCUGCGCGGAAGAUGUAACGGGGCUAAACUGUGCACCGAAGCUGCGGCAGCGACACUAUGUGUUGUUGGGUAGGGGAGCGUUCUGUAAGCCUGCGAAGGUGGCCUGUGAGGGUUGCUGGAGGUAUCAGAAGUGCGAAUGCUGACAUAAGUAACGAUAAUGCGGGUGAAAAGCCCGCACGCCGGAAGACCAAGGGUUCCUGUCCAACGUUAAUCGGGGCAGGGUGAGUCGACCCCUAAGGCGAGGCCGAAAGGCGUAGUCGAUGGGAAACAGGUUAAUAUUCCUGUACUUGGUGUUACUGCGAAGGGGGGACGGAGAAGGCUAUGUUAGCCGGGCGACGGUUGUCCCGGUUUAAGCAUGUAGGCGGAGGUUCCAGGUAAAUCCGGUACCUUUU